UACGAAGGGGGCUAGCGUUGUUCGGAAUUACUGGGCGUAAAGCGCACGUAGGCGGAUAUUUAAGUCAGGGGUGAAAUCCCGCAGCUCAACUGCGGAACUGCCUUUGAUACUGGGUAUCUUGAGUAUGGAAGAGGUGAGUGGAAUUGCGAGUGUAGAGGUGAAAUUCGUAGAUAUUCGCAGGAACACCAGUGGCGAAGGCGGCUCACUGGUCCAUAACUGACGCUGAGGUGCGAAAGCGUGGGGAGCAAACAGG
rnacentral:rRNA from 1 species